AGCAUGUGGUUUAAUUCGAUGCAACGCGAAGUAACCUUACUGGGCUUGACAUCCCGAGAAUCCCUGGAAACAGGGAGUGCCUUUCGGGGAACUCGGAGACAGGUUGCUGCAUGGCUGUCGUCAGCUCGUGUCGUGAGAUGUUGGGUUAAGUCCCGCAACGAGCGCAACCCUUGUCUUUAAUUGCCAGCAUUCAGUUGGGCACUUUAAAGAGACUGCCGGUGUUAAGCCGGAGGAAGGUGGGAUGACGUCAAGUCCUCAUGGCCUUUAUGCCCAGGGCUACACACGUGCUACAAUGGGUGGUACAAAGAGAUGCCAACUCGCGAGAGCGCGCCAAUCUCAGAAAGCCAUCCUCAGUUCGGAUUGGAGUCUGCAACUCGACUCCAUGAAGUUGGAAUCGCUAGUAAUCGCGGAUCAGCACGCCGCGGUGAAUACGUUCCCGGGCCUU
rnacentral:rRNA from 1 species